GAAGUUUGGAGGUUUUCCUAGAGGCUGCUGGUACCAGGCUAAUGCACUGCCAUUACCCUGACUGACCCUGCAGCUGAUGGUGACUCCCUCCCAGAGCCACAGACAGGGAGGCUGGAGUCUGGGUCAUCACAAUGGCUGUCCUGGACUCUGGGAUGGGAAGAAGAAAGGAGAAAAAGCAGAUUCAGGACAGUGCCUCCUGGCUGCUUUAAUACAGCAGAGGACUUUGGUUCCACUGCAGGGGACCCAAAGGCCAUGGAAAGGUGCAAGAUCAUGAAUGGAAGAGGAUGCACAUGUACCAGCAAUGACUUGUUGCUUAGCGAUUUCUCAUUACACAAUUAAAUUCAUGUCUCACUCAUCAGAAUUAAAGGCUGUCUGAGCAGGUGGCAGGAAUGACAGCCCUUGACAGAAUCAGGAACACAAUUCAUAGCCUCAAAAUACUUAGAGAAUUGGAGGAAGGUCCCCAGUGUGUCCAAUUGUUCUUCUGAAUGAGCUUUGUGUAAGGUCAUGCAUGUGAACUACACAGGACAGAAGUCUUGGAGGAUUUUUAUUCCUCAUAGGGACUGAUGAGAUUACCAUUCUCUCAGUUUCUAAAAAUCUAUUCCUGGAAGUUUCCUAAGAAUCUCCCCUAUCUACUUCCCUGGUUCCUCUUCCAUUCUACCAAUAUUGGGUGAGAAAAGACCCUUCCUCCUGGGCAAAACUAAUCUUUUUGCUGAUAGUUACAUUCCUAAAGCCCCUGGUCACCAUUUUAAUCUGAUGAAUUUUCUCAAAGUUUUCCUCAAUUAACAUUCCUCAAAAAAUCUGGAUCAGAAAUGUAUUUGGGGGGAAUAGACAUAGCACAUGACAUUUCACUUUGGGUCAUUCCCUGAUUCAGGCGACUCCUUCCUGGUCUACAUGAACCAUCAUGGAAUGCUUUAAAAUGAAGGUAAAGUGGAAUAAAUAGGUCCAGGUGUAAUAACA
rnacentral:lncRNA from 1 species